AUGUGAUCGUCUCUCGCAUAUCAAUAAGCGGAGGAAAAGAAACUAACAAGGAUUCCCCUAGUAACGGCGAGUGAAGCGGGAAGAGCUCAAAUUUGAAAUCUUAAAGGGUUUCCCUUUACGAAUUGUAGUUUAAAGAAGUGUUUUCUGUUGAGGUUUUGGUAAAAGUUCUUUGGAAUAGGACAUUAUAGAGGGUGAGAAUCCCGUAUUUGACCUUUACUUUCAACUUUGUGAUACACUUUCAAAGAGUCGGAUUGUUUGGGAAUGCAGUCCAAAAUGGGUGGUAAAUUUCAUCUAAAGCUAAAUAUUGGCGAGAGACCGAUAGCGAACAAGUACCGUGAGGGAAAGAUGAAAAGAACUUUGAAAAGAGAGUUAAACAGUACGUGAAAUUGUCAAAAGGGAAGCGUUUGACACCAGUGUUGUUUCUCUGAAAAUCAAUUAAAGAACUGUUUAUGCUAAGUUGUUUAGACUUUAUCAGCUAUCUGUUUAGUUUUAGGCUUUUCUUUAAUGCACUUUUCAGUUAACAAGUCAACAUCAAUUUCUUUUGCUGUAAAAAAGCUUGAGGAAGGUGGCUUGAGAUUCGUCUUAAGUGUUUAUAGCCUCUUGCCUAUGCAGUCGGAGAGAUUGAGGUCUGCAGCGUAGAUCCUUCGGGGCUAAAUGCAUUUGUGCUAAGUUAUAGCAUUUUAUAGACAACUUGUUGACUAUGAUUUGUCUUGUAGCUUACUCGCUUAUGUUAUUUUACCUACGCUUAGGAUGUUGAUCUACAGAGCGAGAGU
rnacentral:rRNA from 1 species